UACGUAGGGACCGAGCGUUGUCCGGAAUCAUUGGGCGUAAAGAGCGUGUAGGCGGCCCCUUAAGUCCUGCGUGAAAUCCUGCGGCUCAACCGCAGACGGUCGUGGGAAACUGGAGGGCUAGAGUGCGGGAGAGGAGAGUGGAAUUCCCGGUGUAGCGGUGAAAUGCGCAGAUAUCGGGAAGAACACCCGUGGCGAAGGCGGCUCUCUGGAACGCAACUGACGCUGAGGCACGAAAGCGUGGGGAGCAAACAGG
rnacentral:rRNA from 1 species